ACAUGCAAAUGAACCCUGUGUUUGAACCAUUUAUUCUGGAACCAGCAGUUUGAGAUCAUUUACAGCAACAGUAAUCAUUUUUUAAGAUGGGACAAGGCCGAGUUCUUAUUUACUUUGCUCUAGCAAUGUUUAUUCAACAUUCCUGCAGUCAGACACUGAUUGAGUCUGAAUCAGUAAUUAUUAAACCUGGUCAGUCUCAUACACUGACCUGCACCGCCUCGGGAUUUACCUUUAGUAGCUACUGGAUGGCUUGGAACAGACAGGCUCCUGGAAAAGGGCUGGAAUGGGUUGCAUCUAUCUCAGAUGGUAGUGGUAGCAAGUAUUACUCCAGUGCAGUUAAUGGUCGCUUCACCAUCUCCAGAGACAACAGUAAGAUGCAGGUGUAUCUGCACAUGAGCAGCGUGAGGACAGAAGACACUGGAGUGUAUUACUGCGCCAAAGACACACAGUGA